rnacentral:rRNA from 1 species
AAACAUGCUCGAUACACUUGUAGGAAUGGAAAUGAAAAACACGAGAUACUUUUUCUAGAAAUAUGGACUAAUGAAAGUUUAACCCCUAAGAAAGCACUUUAUGAGGCUUCUCGUAAUUUGAUUAAUUUAUUUUUUCCUUUUCUACACGCGGAGGAAGAGGGCACUAGUUUCGAAGAAAAUAAAAACAUGAUUCUAAAAAGAGUUCGUGCAUUUUUUUAA